UACGUAGGGGGCUAGCGUUGUCCGGAAUCAUUGGGCGUAAAGCGCGUGUAGGCGGUCCGGUAAGUCCGCUGUGAAAGUCGGGGGUCAACCCUCGAAUGCCGGUGGAUACUGUCGGGCUAGAGUGCGGGAGAGGCGGAGUGGAAUUCCCGGGUGUAGCGGUGAAAUGCGCAGAUAUCUGGAGAACACGGUGGCGAAGGGCGGCCCCGCUGGGCAGGAAGGG
rnacentral:rRNA from 1 species